GGGGUGGAACUUUGGCUCCGUCAACUCCUCCGUUCUCAGACCAACUGAAAGAAUCCCGCAGAGGUUAACUGCUCUGUGGCACUCACAUCCCCAGAGAGACGCUCCUGAUUGAACACGCACCUGAUCCACCCUGAUUAACCUUCAACAGACUGGUCUUAAAGGGCUCUGGUCCCCAGGGGCUCCGAAUCACGGCAGUCCAACCCGGGGUUAGUGGCAAGGGUAAAAACUAACGUUACAUUUUCAAAGGCUCUAAUGAACUGAAGGGGGCAACUCGAUUUCAAACUAACGGGUGGAAGUUAAAACCCUGAAAAGUCCAGCAAGUCUUGAAGCAGGAGAGAGAAAUAACAGAACUUCCUUUCCCAUUAACUCUGGCCUAACCACCAACGUACCAGCUCCUUCUUCCUAACGAGGAACAAUCUGCUAAAAAUAAAUAAAUGCUGCAUUUGGAAAUGCUGCAUAAAAUAGACAAA